rnacentral:ncRNA from 14 species
GUAGAGCAGCCUGGUAGCUCGUUGGGCUCAUAACCCGAAGGUCGGUGGUUCAAAUCCAUUCUCCG